rnacentral:rRNA from 1 species
UACGGAGGGAGCUAGCGUUGUUCGGAAUUACUGGGCGUAAAGCGCACGUAGGCGGCUUUGUAAGUCAGACGUGAAAUCCCCCGGCUUAACCUGGGAACUGCGUCUGAUACUGGGAGGCUUGAGUAUGGGAGAGGGAUGUAGAAUUCCAGGUGUAGCGGUGAAAUGCGUAGAUAUCGGGAGGAACACCAAUUGCGAAGGCAGCUCGCUGGGACGUUACUGACGCUGAGACGCGAAAGCGUGGGGAGCAAACAGG